rnacentral:rRNA from 1 species
AGCGAACGUUAGCGGCGCGCCUAACACAUGCAAGUCGCACGAGAAAGGGCUUCGGCCCCGGUAAAGUGGCGCACGGGUGAGUAACACGUGGGUAACCUUCCCUCGAGCGGGGAAUAACAUUCCGAAAGGAGUGCUAAUACCGCAUAAGACCACGGCUUCGAAAGGAGCUGAGGUAAAAGCUGGCCUCUUCAUGAAAGCUAGCACUCGAGGAUGGGCCCGCGGCCCAUCAGCUUGUUGGUAGGGUAACGGCCUACCAAGGCUAAGGAGGGUAACUGGUCUGAGAGGAUGAUCAGUCACACUGAAACUGAGACACGGUCCAGACUCCUACGGGAGGCAGCAGUGGGGAAUCUUGCGCAAUGGACGAAAGUCUGACGCAGCGACGCCGCGUGGGUGAUGAAGGCCUUCGGGUUGUAAAGCCCUGUGGGGAGAGACGAAUAAGUCUUGGCUAAUAUCCAAGAUGAUGACGGUAUUUCCUUAGCAAGCACCGGCUAACUCUGUGCCAGCCGCCGCCGUAACAC